UGGGGAAUUUUGGACAAUGGGGGAAACCCUGAUCCAGCCAUCCCGCGUGUGCGAUGAAGGCCUUCGGGUUGUAAAGCACUUUUGGCAGGAAAGAAACGUCGCGGGUUAAUACCCCGCGAAACUGACGGUACCUGCAGAAUAAGCACCGGCUAACUACGUGCCAGCAGCCGCGGUAAUACGUAGGGUGCAAGCGUUAAUCGGAAUUACUGGGCGUAAAGCGUGCGCAGGCGGUUCGGAAAGAAAGAUGUGAAAUCCCAGAGCUUAACUUUGGAACUGCAUUUUUAACUACCGGGCUAGAGUGUGUCAGAGGGAGGUGGAAUUCCGCGUGUAGCAGUGAAAUGCGUAGAUAUGCGGAGGAACACCGAUGGCGAAGGCAGCCUCCUGGGAUAACACUGACGCUCAUGCACGAAAGCGUGGGGAGCAAAACAGGAUUAGAUACCCUGGUAGUCCACGCCCUAAACGAUGUCAACUAGCUGUUGGGGCCUUCGGGCCUUGGUAGCGCAGCUAACGCGUGAAGUUGACCGCCUGGGGAGUACGGUCGCAAGAUUAAAACUUAAAUGAAUU
rnacentral:rRNA from 1 species